rnacentral:rRNA from 1 species
GUCGAGAAUCUUCCGCAAUGCGCGAAAGCGUGACGGAGCGACACCGCGUGAUGGAUGAAGUCCUUCGGGGCGUAAACAUCUUUUAUAAAGGAGGAAAUUUUUGACGUUACUUUAUGAAUAAGGGGCUCCCAAUCUCGUGCCAGCAGGAGCGGUAAUACGAGAGCCUCAAGCGUUAUCCGGAAUCAUUGGGCGUAAAGGGUGCGUAGGUGGUUUGAUUAGUCUCCCGUUAAAACUUCGAGCUUAACUCGAAAAGAGCGGGGGAAACGGUCAAACUAGAGGAUGUGAGAGGUGUGUGGAACUCAUGGUGUAGGGGUGAAAUCCGUUGAUAUCAUGGGGAACACCAAAAGCGAAGGCAGCACACUGGCACAUCACUGACACUGAGGCACGAAACCUAAGGUAGCGAAUGGGAUUAGAAACCCUUGUAGUCC